ensembl:lncRNA
AUCAUUGGUACUUUAUAUAUUUUUGUUCAGUGUGCAAUUCAAAGAAUGAAGAAAAGAAUCAAAAAUAAAUACUAUGAUAAAAACAUGAGUCUUCCUACGUUAAUUGACAGUGCAGGUGGUGGUCAGGACAUUACCAGCUUACAGGAGUCUAAUAAAUACAACAUGCAAGUAAAUGGCAAUUUGUAAGUAUGAUGGCUUAUAUUGAAUGUCAACUUGACUGAAGGAUACAAAGUAUUGUUCCUGGGUGUGUCCGUGAGGGUGUUGAUGAAGGAGAUUAACAUGUGAGUCAUAGACUGGGAGAGACAGACUUACCCUCAAUCUGGGUGGGCAGCAUCUAAUCAGCUGCCAGCGUGAAUAGAAUAGAGCAGCAGAAGAUGGAAGAGCAGGUUUGCUGAGUCUUCCAGCCUUCAUCUUUCUCUCAUGCCAGAUGCUUCCUGCCCUCAAACAUCAGAUUCCAGGUUCUUCAGCAUUUGGACUCUUGGAUUUACAGCAGUGGUUUGCUGGGGGCUCUUGGGCCUUUGGCCACAGACUGAAAGUGCACAGUCAGCUUCCUGACUUGAGAUUUUGGGGCUCUGACUUUCUUGCUCCACUGGCUUUCUUGCUCCUCAGCUUGCAGAUGACCUAUCAUGGGACUUCACCUUGUGAACAUGUGUCAGAUAUGCGUCACUACUUGCAAGCUCUUCCCACCUAUUUCUGUUCUUUCUUCGUCUGGACUUCAUGGGAGAUAGAUCUACUGGUUCUCUUGAACAAGUCUAAUGCCAUCUUUGCAUCAACAUCUCAGAGGACCUAAACUGGCCCAUGUGACAAUCUACUCACAUCAAUUGGACACCAAAAGACACCAGACAAAUAUUUAAGUGGACACGGGCUACAUCAUGAAUAAAGAAGAAAAUCUGUUGGGAUUUCCCAACCUCCGUUUCUAGGUAACGGUUGUAUAAUCACUAAGGCAGCCAGAGUCAGUACUGUUGACUCUCUUUUUAAGGGGUGCUGUGAUUUUCAAUCAAAAUAGAGAGUAAACGUUAGAGCAAUUAAGUUACUUAGUUUCAAUAGUCUUCUACAGAAUUUUAAAAUAAUUUUAAAUUACUGCCAAUAUUUUCAAAACUAAAAUUUAGAAUUUUAUAUCAGUGAUGGAAAGAAUGCUUGCAUUACUGAGGAUAAAAAGCACAAAAUUAUAGUUCAAGCAGUCAUUCUUUUGUACUUCAUAUGCACACAAACGAUAAAGUGGAGCUUGGAAUUCUACACAAAAGAAGAUAGUAAUUGGGCCAUUUCAUAUGGUCACCUACAUUUUUUUACAAAAGCAAAUUUAAUGUAGUCAUGUACCAGUGCAUCUUUGAAUAUCUUAUUUCUUAUGUCUUCUGAUGUAUAAGAGUCUAAUUACAGAGGUUGGGUGACUAAUUUCAUAUGGUUGCGGUCUGCAGAUUAGCAAGAAACAUAAAAUAUUUUUAACAAGUUAUAGUCAUAUUUCCUUGGCCUUAAAAUCACAUUUUUAAAAACCUACCUUAAAUCUCUGCAAGUCUAUUGCUUUCAGUGUGUUAUGGUGCAGAGGCAAUGAAAUGAUCCCAUUUGACUUCCAAGAAUUAAAAAAAAGACAAAACUGCUAUAAACUGAUAUACACUAACUUCUUCUUAAUCACAGACUAUUUUUUUUUUUUCAGUUAAACUCGAAUCACCCAGCUGACAAAUAGAUUUAGAACUUGUUACCUACUGGAUUGGAGUUACCAAAAGUGUUUUUGAAAAUAUAUUUUUUCCUAUUAAAGGAAGGUAAAUGAUAAAAAUGUAUAAGAAUCUUUUCCCUUUUAAAAAAGAAGUUAAUAACAAAGAUACGCUUAUUCAAGGCCUCUGGGAGGGAUCUUUCACCUGAAGGCUAAAGUAAUGUAAAACAUGAUGCUAAUAUCCUUUUUUUAUGGCCCAGGAAUGGGGAAUAUUUAAUUAGAUGGCUGUGUAGUAACACUCCCUCUGUACUUAGCAGUGUGCAGGGUACCUAGGGGUAUGCAAAGGAUGACAAUCUCAUACCUAUCAGAUUUGACUCUCACAAACGGGAGGAAAAGCAAAUACAUAGGAAGUGGUUAAUAGGCUAUCAUGUAUAACAAAACAGCAAAGAAAGUGAUAGUGAUCAUAAAAACUACUAGGUUUCAGGAGAAAAGUCAGAUUAGCCGAAGGCAUCAGAAAAACUUCAUUGAGGCUGAAGGUCUUGGGCUGGACUCUAAAGUAUGAGGAGCAUUUGGAUAAGCAAAGGAGGCAUUGGUUGAAAAUUCCAGGCCACAGCAGAGCAUAAGAAAAGCUUAGAGGCUGGAAAAUGUAUGUCAAACAGUGAAGAGAAUCACAAGGUGAGAAAAGGCUAGAGAACACUUGAUUUCAAAACCUAGUUUUAUCAUUUAUUAUUUGUGUAACUUUAGGAAAUUUAAUUUUUCUGGUCUCAGAUUUCUUAUAUGCAAUUAACCUACAGAGUUGGGUAAUCAACUUACAGAGUUUUAUGAAUAGUAAGAAAAGAACAUCUAUUAACAGGUUUUUGAGAAUACCAUCCAUUGUAUGUGUUAAAUAAAUUUGAUUACUCGAUUUUAAUUUUCUUAAAAGGAGGAGAGAGUUUAUAACGGAAGGUGAAGUAUACUUGAGUUAGACUGAGGAAAACCUAAAUGCAUACAAGAGGCAUAUAAACUUUAUCAUACAGGCAAUGGCUAGAUUUUGAGAGUAAUAAGAUACUGUAGUGUACUGGUUAAAAAAUAAUGUACUUUAAACAAAUCUACCUGGUGAUAAUAGGCAGGAUUUAUUGUACUGAGUGAUAGUGAAUCAGAAAGGCUAGAUAAAGAUACAUUCAUUUCAUAAGAUCCAAAUUAGGGUACUUAUAAUGAGCUAUGAAUUGCCUUUUUUAUAAUUAAUGAAAGC